UACGAAGGGGGCUAGCGUUGCUCGGAAUCACUGGGCGUAAAGGGUGCGUAGGCGGGUUUUUAAGUCAGGGUGAAAUCCUGGAGCUCAACUCCAGAACUGCCUUUGAUACUGAAGAUCUUGAGUCCGGGAGAGGUGAGUGGAACUGCGAGUGUAGAGGUGAAAUUCGUAGAUAUUCGCAAGAACACCAGUGGCGAAGGCGGCUCACUGGCCCGUUACUGACGCUGAGGUGCGAAAGCGUGGGGAGCAAACAGG
rnacentral:rRNA from 1 species